rnacentral:rRNA from 1 species
GGGGAAUUGUUCGCAAUGGGCGCAAGCCUGACGACGCAACGCCGCGUGGAGGAUGAAGGUCUUCGGAUUGUAAACUCCUGUUGCUCGGGACGAAAAGCUCUGACCUAACACGUCGGAGUCUGACGGUACCGAGUGAGGAAGCCCCGGCUAACUCUGUGCCAGCAGCCGCGGUAAUACAGAGGGGGCUAGCGUUGUUCGGAAUUACUGGGCGUAAAGGGCGCGUAGGCGGCCCUCUAAGUCGAACGUGAAAUCCCCGGGCUCAACCCGGGAACUGCGUCCGAUACUGGAGGGCUCGAAUCCGGGAGGGGGAUGUGGAAUUCCAGGUGUAGCGGUGAAAUGCGUAGAUAUCUGGAGGAACACCGGUGGCGAAGGCGGCAUCCUGGACCGGUAUUGACGCUGAGGCGCGAAAACCAGGGGAGCAAA